CCUACGGGGGGCAGCAGUGAGGAAUAUUGGUCAAUGGGCGAGAGCCUGAACCAGCCAAGUCGCGUGAGGGAGUACUGCCCUAUGGGUUGUAAACCUCUUUUGUCGGGGAGCAAAAGCCGGACGUGUCCGGCUGUGAGAGUACCCGAAGAAAAAGCAUCGGCUAACUCCGUGCCAGCAGCCGCGGUAAUACGGAGGAUGCGAGCGUUAUCCGGAUUUAUUGGGGUUAAAGGGUGCGCAGGCGGAUUUUUAAGUCAGCGGUCAAAUCGUGGGGCUCAACCCCAUCCAGCCGUUGAAACUGGGGAUCUAGAGUGUGCGAGAGGUAUGCGGAAUGCGUGGUGUAGCGGUGAAAUGCAUAGAUAUCACGCAGAACCCCGAUUGCGAAGGCAGCAUACCGGUGCACAACUGACGCUCAGGCACGAAAGCGUGGGUAUCGAACAGGAUUAGAUACCCUGGUAGUC
rnacentral:rRNA from 1 species